UGCUGUGAGGGGUGGAGCCUAUGCAGUCCGAGGUUUUAGUUGGUGAGACUCUAGGGUAGGCUUGGCUUCUCGGCCUCAGUGCUCAAGUACGCAAACAGGCUUUGAAUUUGAAAACACUGAGCCUGGGCCCGGCGGAAGGUACCCCCAGCGGAUUCCGACCUACGGAAGCCCGGGAGGACCAAGCUCCCAGAGGCCACCGAAUGUGUGCCGGGCAGGGGUGCACGGCUGUGCGGUGCUUCCUGGUUCCCUUUGAUCUCGGCGGACGGAGCCUCCCCUGGCUUCCCUGUGUCCAAACUUCUUAGUCUCCGGCUUCUUCCCUGCUCCAGGAAUCGCCCAGCUAGACUUGAAAGGGUCCAAGGCAGCCGCAGGAGGACCCUGUACCUGCUGCCGAGCCUCGGGCCUGGCCCCUUCCGCUGGGAUGGAUGGGCUUGUGCGGGAGAUAAACCUCUCCGCGCCUGUCUCCUCUUUGGCACCGCGGGGGUUACACCUGCCCAUCCCUGGAUCUGUUGUGAGGUUAAGUGGGAAGCACCCGUAUGUGGUGCAUGUUAACCCCCGUCUUCUGAGUCUGGAGAACUAUAAACCCACCAGGAACAUGGGAGACAAGUUUGUUCUGGCCCAGAAAACUGCGUUUUCCCCUCACUCUUGCUCACCGACCGAAAAAGACUGUGUCCCUAACUCACGAUUUUUCUCCGUCAGUCGUCCCGUGAAUUACGGUCCUUCCCCUGCCCUACGGGUCACGUGUUGAGAAGUUUGGGGCUCAAUCAUUGAAACGUUUACUGAGCACCUACUGUUCGCAGCAAACUGUUAAGGCACCACGCUCCACACUAGAGAUAAACAUGAGUAAGACAUGACGUUGCACUGGAGUAGCCCCUGGACCAAAGAUGACCCCAGAGACCUACCACCGCCUAGGUUUAGGGCUUAUAAAUGUAGAGAAGAGUUUUGUUAAUUCAGUCAACAUUUUCCGAGCCGCUGUACCUGCUAAAGUGCCGAGGACAGAGACUCCUCAAGAACCAGGGUUCAUCAGCUCAAAGCCACCUGGGGUCUUUGCCCUCCCCUCUUCUCUCUCUUCAAACAGGGGGUUUGAAGCCUUGUCAACAGGAAGUGAAUUCCUCCGUAUCACAUACAGUCUUCUGUUGAUUGUCUCCUUGCAAAAAGAGAUCCCAGAUUUGGAGCUCAAGAAGCUGGCAACCUGGAAAGCCAACAAAGAAAGCUCCAACAAGAGCGUGAUCCUCCUCAGCGAAAGGCCAAGAAAGGAACAGCCCACCGAGACACAACUCCUCCACAGUCCCCACUCUCCUCCAGCUAAACACCUCAGAAGAAGUUCGUGGCUCCCACCCUCAAGGCUGUGAUGAGGGAAGGCGUCAAAGAAGGCCGAGUAACGAAAUCGGGACUUUCAUCCAUGCCGGCUGGUAACAAGGCCGUGGCCGUGGUGGUGACCACGGGGGAGCCAGAACUCCCACCCCGCCUGCACUAGCAAGGAGUGCCUCCUUCAGGUACCAGCGGAGGUCGGGUGGGCAGCCUGGUCUUCGCCCCACCUGCUGUAGUGAGGUCUUGCCCCCGCUUCCCCUGCCAAGUCACGUGAGGAAAAGCCAGUUAAAAGAAGUUGAAAUAAGACCCAGAAUCUUCUAACCUGUGAAAAUGUCCAGGUGCCAACUGAAAACCAUUCAUCAUUCCAAAAUAAAAGUACUUCAGUAAGCAAUUAUGCGUACACUCGGAACAAGAGUAGAAACACUCAGCCAAAAAAAAAAAAAAAAAAAAAAAGACAAAGAACCAAAAGGAAAUUUUAGCACUGAAAAAUAUGGUAGCUGAACUGAAAAGCUCAGUGGACGGACAGAACGGAGAGGGGAGAGGAAAGAAUCAGUCAACUGGAAGAUAAAACAAUAGAAAUUACACAGUCUGAGCAAGAGAAAACCAAAAAAAAAAAAAAAAAAAAAAAAAAAAAGAGCAUUAAGAAAACUACAGACCAGUACCCCUCAUGCAUACAGACAUCAAUGUACCUACCAAAAUAUUAGUAAGUAGAAUCUAGCAGUUAGGUAACACAUAAGAAAAUUAUACACCACAAGAAAGUGGGUUUAUUCUGGGGAUGAAAGGCUGGUUCGAUAUUUAAAAAUCAAUCGGUGCAAUUCACAUUAAUUGCUAAUGAAAAGAACAGUAACAUCAAUCAAUGUAGAAAACGUGUGUGACAAAACUCAACACAUUCAUGAUAAAAACUCUUUGAAAAAUAGGGAUACAGGGGAACUCCUUCAACUUUAGAUAAAGAGCAUCCAGCAAAAACCUACAAUUAACGUGACUUAAAGUGAAAGAUGUAAUGUUUCUUUCAAUCAGGCACAGAGCAAGGCUGUCUGCUCUCACCACUUUUACUCAACACUGUGAUGCAAAUUCUUGCCAAUGCAGGAAGACAAGGCAAGGAAAGAGCAGUGCUAUGGAUCCGAGAGGAAGAAAUAAAACUGCCCCUGUUUGAAGAUGACGUGAUUACCUCUGCAGAAAAUCCCAAGGAAAUCUACAAAAUCACACAUAUUCUAUAUAAUCACAGGAAGAGUUUUUGUAGAUCUCAACAAGAUUAUUCUAAAACUUAAUUCUGACAAAGAAUAAAGCCUGCCCAGUUUCAAGACUUCAGAUAGAGUUAAAGCGAUCGAGACUGUGUUGGUAGGGGGCACACAUACAGGCAGACGAAACAGAAUCAAGAACCCAGAACUACACAAAUAUGCACAACUGAUUUCUGACGAAGGUACAAAAGUGAUUCAGUGAGGGCCUUCUCAGCAAAUGGUGCCGGAAUAAUAGCACACUGAUGGGCAAAAAAAUGAACCUUGUACUAAGUCUCAUUUGUUACAUAAAAAUCAACUCAAAAUGGAUCACGGGCUUAAGAUCAAGAGUAAAAUGUUAAAUUGUAAAACAUUUAGAAAAAAAACACAGGAAAAAAACUCUUGGGGAUCUAGGGUUAAGCAAAGAGUUCCCAGAUUUGGCACCAAAAGCAUGACCUAUUAAAGGGAAAAUGGACAAAUUAAAUCAAAAUGAAAAAAAUCUGUUCUAUAAAAGAUUGUCAAGAGGAUAAAAAAGCUAUAGACUGAAGGGGAAAAAAAAACCUUGCAAACCCCACAUCCCACAAAAGAUUAGUAUUUAGAAUAGGAUACAUAAAGAACUCUCAAAAGUUAACAGUAAAAAAGAAAAUCCAAUUCGAAAAUAAGCAAAAGACGUGAACAGACGUUUCAAUAUCAAGAGAUAUACAGAUGGCGAAUAAGUACAUGAAAAGAUACUCAACAUCAUUAGGGAUAAAAAAUUAAAAUCACCCGAGCUAUUACCACACGCCUAUCAGGAUAGCUAACAAAAAAAACAACAACAACAAAGUACCACCACCAGACCCUGGCCGAGAUGUGGGAAAACUGGGUGAGGCACACACCGCCGGGGCGAUUAUAAAAUGGUACGGCCACUCUAGAAAAAGUUGGCGGUUUCUUUAAAAACCAAACACGCAGUCACCACACCACACGGCGACUGCACUCCUGGACAUUUCUUCCACAAAGUGAUGUGCGUUCACAUGAAAACCUGUACGUAAAUGCUGACAGCAGCUUAUUUAUAGCAAGUGGAGGCUGGGCCUUCAAGAGAGGAGUGGUCAGACGAACGGGGGUACGUCCACGCCACGGGCUACUAAACAGCAGAGGGACUGGAUUACCAACACAUGCAGCCACGUGGAGGCAUCUCCAGAGAAUAAUGCUGAGGGAAAAGUGGUAAUCUCAAGAAUUCACAUACUAGAUGAUGCCAUUUAGGUAACGUUCUGAAACUACGAAAGUACAGAAAUGGUGAACGGAUUAGUGAUUGUGGGGGCAGGCGGGGUGGCAGGUAAGGGCAUGGCUAUAAAAGGGCCCACAGAGGGCUCCCAGUGGUGAUGGAAACGUCGGUCUCCUGACUGGGUCAGUGUCAGCACCCUGUGGAGACAGGAUAGUUGUGCCCGCUGUGGCCCUAGCAGGAAGCUGGGCAAAGGGCGCGUGGAUCCAUAGGUCUCUAUUAUAAUUCCUUACAACUGCAUGGGAAUCUACUAUCCUCUCAAAACAAACAAAUUAAACUAAAAAAAAAAGGCCUCACGCAGCCCAAUUUGGGAGUGGGGGGGAUCCAGGCAAAGAGGUGUAACCCAGCUCAGGCAGUUACUGAAUCCCCAUUAGUAAAGCCUCCCCUCCGGGGUGAGCCCUCGAGUCUGUUGUGCAUCAGCAGGGCCCCAGGGAAUGCUUCAGGCCGGAGGAAGUGGGGGCAGCUCUGUGGAGGAGGCAGCGUUUGAGGGGACCUUUAAAGGCCAGGAAUUGGAUUCUGACAGGGACACACUGGGAGACAGGGAGACAGAGACCCCGGGAACAAGAGGAGGUGGGGGGCGAGGCAGCUAAGUGUGGCGGGUACUUCUGGGAGAGUAGUGAGGGGCAGGGGGGAGGGAAGCAGGGAAAGGGAACAAGGUCUCAGAAAGCCGUGCUGGGUUUAUCUGCAGUUCCAAAGAGAUGGGUUCCCAGUCCAGACCAUCUUCCCCUUAGAGCUAGACAGACGCUGCGGAGUGGCUCACACAGCUCCGUUCUCCCCUCUGGAGCCACGCCGUGUCUGGAUCUGCGUCCAGCCCUCCCCGUGCCUCCGGAGGGGAGGACCCGCCUGAAGGCCCCGGGUCGCCGCCUCCCCCCACACCCUCGAGGGCAGACCUCUCCAAAGGAUGGCGGCGAUACCUUUUGCAGGAGCCCCAUGGUUUUCCGGUUCUCCACCCUCAGAAUGUCCUGAGAGCUUCCUCUUUUUCUUCUUGGUAUCUGCUUCAUCUAGGAAAGUAGAAAGAGUAAACGCGAGAACAAGAUUUUGCAUUUAUGACAGCGGCUGCCAUUUAAUGAACGCCACGCACGGCCAGGCCCGGUGCAUCCGCCGGGCACCCAGCACCGCGGGCUUCUCCACCUCGGGGUCGGGUGAGCACACGGCGAGUGGACGGGUGCCGUCACCUGAGCCCGGGUCGGCCCGAUCCCAAAGCUUACGCCCUUUGCCUUACUUGUUCCAAACGCGAGGUCUGACGCAAAUUCACUGCUUCCCGACCCUUGUACCAGAGCCCAGAGCAAACGCCAGCCACGUACCGUCCGCGUGCUUCUUUCUCUUCCCGGGCGGCGGCUUCGUCGGCUCCUCCUUGGCGUCUCUGGCUCCGUCCGCCGCCCCCUUGGCCUUGCCCCCCUUGCUCUGGCUCUUCUUCCCUGCAGAGCCCGGGGCCUCCCCUCCAGCCUCCUGAUCGGCCUCUUGUUCUUGCCCCGUUUUGCGCUUCUUAGGCUUCUGACCCCUUGAAUUCUCCUGGUGACCUUCUAAUUUUAGUUCUUUCUUCUCUUUUUUUCUAUUCUUCUGCCUUUCUUCCUUCCUUUCUCUUUUAUUCUUCUUCACCUCUGCUUGCUUUUCUGGGGUGUCACUUGUGUGGGAAGCUGGAACCUUUGUGGAAAGUUCUACGCCGGGCGGGUUGGCCCCUUGCUUGAGCGGCUGUCGGUCCUGCCCCUUACUGACCGGUUCCUUAUUAUUAAGCAAAACCGAGAGAGACAUAAAUACUCAUUCCAGACAUUCGUGCACGUCAUUAGCAGGCAUCUACUGAGCAAACCGUUCCAAGAAGAAGGUCUACUACUUACCAUUUUACUGUGACCGCCUCCCCCACCAAGAGCUAAAACGUAGCAGUAAACAUAUCAAAUGGGAAAAAAACCUUCCCCCCGAGCCCACACCCCACCCUGCAUUUAAUAGACAUUUUCCUUCCACUGGGAAAGUGAAGAAUCCUUAUGUCACUUAAGCUAGACCUUUAAUUUUGGCUCACUCUCCACCUUUCUGAUAGAAGAUGAGCACAUUGGUGUGGCGGAAACCACUGGAUUUAUGCAUCUGCAGACCUGGGUUCGAGCACCAGCUCUGUUAAUUCCGAGCCAGGUGACUCAGGGCAAGUUAUUUAUCUGCUCCGAACCAACUUCCUCACUGAUAAAAUGAAAGGUAGUGGAAUGAAAGUCAUAUGGUUCAUGGGCGAAUAAAAUGGAAAGUUAUGUCAUGUGCUUAGCAGCUCACGGUGCUAAGGACGAGUAGACCGAGGAUGCUUAAAUAAGCCACUUCCAGGAAAGGUUCUGUAAACUUUGGAGCACUGGACCAGCACAAUCUACUCACUGAGAACAGAGGAACUGCCCUUGAGGAAGGGAUGUGGGACACCUGGAUGGAGUGUGGACCCGCAGAGUGGGAAGCAUGGGGCACAGGGAGCCACAGAAAGCUAGGGAACCACAAGCCGCACUCUACCUUAUUCAAGCCAGUGCACAGAUCCGACUGAGAACAACGACCCCAGCAAAAUGAGUGCCACUGCCGGCUGCACUCCCUGACCCUGAAUCUGUGCUGGUCUCUAUGUCAGCCCCUUCUCAAGGAUGACCCCAGCAAUGUCCUGAGCUUCUGGUGAGUCCUAACGCAUCUGGAUGGGGCUGCUUCGGGUGCGGCGGGAACCACUGGAUGUCAGCGCCCAAGACCCAUCUCUGUUAGUUGCCAGCCAGGUGACAGACCAGUCACCUCCAGUCCCUUUCAUCUGGGAGAGUAGGUCUCAAGGAGGGAGCUACUGUCCCCCAAACUGAGCCAAAACAAGGACUGGCUUUCGCUCAAGUACAGACGCUCUACAAAGGUCACGCCUCACUCAGUGCUCAACUCCGGGCUGAGAGCACAGCGUCUGCAUUUCCCCAGCAGGUCAGAGACACCAGCCAGGCCAGGCGCAUGGCACAAAGGCAGGCAGUGGGCUCAGAAACAAAGUCAGGAGGAAGAAGCAGCCCAAGUCGCCUGACUCCUAGCCUACAAUUUCCUUCCUAGCUUAUGGGAAGGCACUGUUAUGACCACUGAGAGCCACACACCUCAACCCGCCUUCUGCCCCGUUCAGACCAAGUCUCUAGCUGAGGCCUCCCCUCCGCACCCAGGGAGAGGGACACACGCACCCCAUCUGGCAGCUACUCGGUGAUGGGCAGACAAACUCAUUCCCCAUAUUCUGCUUCGUUCCAGGCUCUCCUCAGAGACACCUGCACCGACCCUCUUUCCUAACAGAGCCCCUCCUCUCGCCUACCGUUUCUCCUAGGGCUUCCGCACCCUGUCCUGCCAUCAGGGCCGGGACCUGCAUAUGCCAUCAUCUGUCCUGCACUGGAACACAGCUCUGUGAGGGCAGGACUUUGGCCUCAUUACAGCUGUGUGCGCGGGGACCAGGCACGCUGUCCUGGGGCACAGGAAAUCCGCCCCCAGGAGCAGAGGAUCCAGGGCCUCCGGCUGGAUGCCCAGCACAUAGUAACGGGAGGGAUGAACACCAGAGGUGUGUACGGACGGGGCCACAGAGCCGUCUGCGCCACUCACACUGGGUUGUGCCGUGAAGGUCACAGGGCAGAGGCAAAACAAAAAUAAGCCGUGGUUUACAGAGCUCAGUUGGCCACGGGCUGCGUACUGAUUCUUCAUUGACUUAAUAUGUUCACAGCUUCAAAAGGGAAAUCAGAAACAACUUUUUAAAAAAAAACUCUGCAGUGAACGAAGUAAUCCCAAAUCUUUGAUUCUUACUUAAAAUAA